CCUACCCCUGCAAGCUUUGCAGAUGUGGCUGCUGUGCCACAUGUGCUUCAGUAGGUGGCAGAAAGGAGAGAGCUAUAUCUAUGCUUAGUGUUCUGACCUUAAAACAGCUGAAUGAUUAGUAGCCUAAAAUU